rnacentral:rRNA from 1 species
UACGGGGGGGGCAAGCGUUGUUCGGAAUUACUGGGCGUAAAGGGCUCGUAGACGGCCAACUAAGUCAGACGUGAAAUCCCUCGGCUUAACCGGGGAACUGCGUCUGAUACUGGAUGGCUUGAGGUUGGGAGAGGGAUGCGGAAUUCCAGGUGUAGCGGUGAAAUGCGUAGAUAUCUGGAGGAACACCGGUGGCGAAGGCGGCAUCCUGGACCAAUUCUGACGCUGAGGAGCGAAAGCCAGGGGAGCAAACGGG